rnacentral:rRNA from 1 species
GACGAACCGUGCGAACGUUGUUCGGAAUCACUGGGCUUAAAGGGCGCGUAGGCGGGCACGCAAGUCAGGGGUGAAAGCCCACGGCUCAACCGUGGAAGGGCCUUUGAUACUGCGUGCCUGGAGGGAGGUAGGGGCGUGCGGAACUUCCGGUGGAGCGGUGAAAUGCGUAGAUAUCGGAAGGAACACCGGUGGCGAAAGCGGCGCGCUGGACCUCUUCUGACGCUGAGGCGCGAAAGCUAGGGGAGCAAACGGG